rnacentral:rRNA from 1 species
UUAAAAAGCUCGUAGUUGAAUUUCGGAGUUUGUCGGUUGGUCGGGCUUCACUGUCCGCACUGGCCUGAUAGAUUCCUACCUUCUGAAUAACCAGCAUGCUAUUAAUUUAGUGCGUUGGGGAAGCAGAGCUAUUACCUUGAAAAAAUUAGAGUGCUUAAAGCAGGCUUAUGCUUGAAUAGAUUAGCAUGGAAUAAUAAAAUAGGACGGCUUGGUUCUAUUUUGUUGGUUUCUAGGAUCACCGUAAUGAUUAAUAGGGAUAGUUGGGGG